AUUGAACGCUGGCGGCAGGCCUAACACAUGCAAGUCGAGCGGAUGAAGGGAGCUUGCUCCUGGAUUCAGCGGCGGACGGGUGAGUAAUGCCUAGGAAUCUGCCUGGUAGUGGGGGAUAACGUCCGGAAACGGGCGCUAAUACCGCAUACGUCCUGAGGGAGAAAGUGGGGGGUCUUCGGACCUCACGCUAUCAGAUGAGCCUAGGUCGGAUUAGCUAGUUGGUGGGGUAAAGGCCUACCAAGGCGACGAUCCGUAACUGGUCUGAGAGGAUGAUCAGUCACACUGAAACUGAGACACGGCCCAAAUUCUAACGGGAGGCAGAAGGGGGAAUAUUGGACAAUGGGCGAAAGCCUGAUCCAGCCAUGCCGCGUGUGUGAAGAAGGUCUUCGGAUUGUAAAGCACUUUAAGUUGGGAGGAAGGGCAGUAAGUUAAUACCUUGCUGUUUUGACGUUACCAACAGAAUAAGCACCGGCUAACUUCGUG
rnacentral:rRNA from 1 species